rnacentral:rRNA from 1 species
AACGAACGCUGGCGGCAGGCCUAACACAUGCAAGUCGAACGGGUGUAGCAAUACAUCAGUGGCGCACGGGUGAGUAACACGUGGGAACGUACCCCUUACUACGGAACAACGUCGGGAAACUGACGCUAAUACCGUAUAAUGUCUUCGGACCAAAGAUUUAUCGGUGAGGGAUCGGCCCGCGUCUGAUUAGCUAGUUGGUGAGGUAAUGGCUCACCAAGGCGACGAUCAGUAGCUGGUCUUAGAGGAUGAUCAGCCACACUGGGACUGAGACACGGCCCAGACUCCUACGGGAGGCAGCAGUGAGGAAUCUUGGACAAUGGGCGCAAGCCUGAUCCAGCCAUGCCGCGUGAGUGAUGAAGGCCUUAGGGUUGUAAAGCUCUUUUGCCGGGGAUGAUAAUGACCGUACCCGGAGAAUAAGCCACGGCUAAAUUCGUG